rnacentral:lncRNA from 1 species
CCCAGAUUUUUUCUAUGUCGAGCAAAAAAAAAGUAGCAGUUUAUAAGGAGACCCCCUAAAUGACGUAACAGCUUGACUUAUGGUCGUUUUAAAAACGAUUGCUUGCAAGUUGCAUUGUGAACAAUUGUACAAUAUGAAAAUUAAACAACGUGAAUGCAAAUAUUUAUAAUGACUUUACGGAAAGUAACUUUUGUGACAUCUUGACAACCGUAUACAAAGUUCGUUACACUUUUCUACCUUCUAAACACAAGAGGUCGAAUUCUUUUGUUCUAUUUAAACCGCAUAUCGGACUGUAUAUAUAAUUU